rnacentral:rRNA from 1 species
UGCACUAUUUGACGUUUACCUACAGAAGAAAGCACCGGCUAACUCCGUGCCAGCAGCCGCGGUAAUACGGAGGGUGCGAGCGUUAAUCGGAAUUACUGGGCGUAAAGCGCAUGCAGGCGGCCUGUUAAGUCAGAUGUGAAAGACCCGGGGCGUUAACCUCGGAAUUGCAUUUGAAACUAGGCAGGCUAGAGUCUUGUAGAGGGGGUAGGAAGUUUCAGGUGUAGCGGUGAAAUAGCGUAGAGAUCUGAAGGAAUACCAGUGGCGAAGGCGGCCCCCUCGGACAAAGACUGACGCUCAGAUGCGAAAGCGUGGGGAGCAAACAGGAUUAGAUACCCUGGUAG